rnacentral:rRNA from 1 species
GACGAACGCUGGCGGCGUGCUUAACACAUGCAAGUCGAACGGAAAGGCCCUGCUUUCGUGGGGUGCUCGAGUGGCGAACGGGUGAGUAACACGUGAGUAACCUGCCCUUGACUUUGGGAUAACUUCAGGAAACUGGGGCUAAUACCGGAUAGGAGCUCCUGCUGCAUGGUGGGGGUUGGAAAGUUUCGGCGGUUGGGGAUGGACUCGCGGCUUAUCAGCUUGUUGGUGGGGUAGUGGCUUACCAAGGCUUUGACGGGUAGCCGGCCUGAGAGGGUGACCGGCCACAUUGGGACUGAGAUACGGCCCAGACGCCUACGGGAGGCAGCAGUGGGGAAUAUUGCACAAUGGGCGGAAGCCUGAUGCGGCAACGCCGCGUGCGGGAAGACGGCCUACGGGUUGUAAACCGCUUUCGCCUGUUACGAAGCGUGAGUGACGGUAAUGGGUAAAGAAGCACCGGCUAACUACGUG